AGCAGCCGCGGUAAUUCCAGCUCCAAUAGCGUAUAUUAAAGUUGUUGCAGUUAAAAAGCUCGUAGUUGAAUUUCAGGCCUGGCUGGACGGUCCGCCCUUCGGGUGAGUACUGUCUGUGGUCGGGUCCUACCUUCUGGCGAAGCGUCAUGGCCUUAACCGGCCGUGGCGGGGAACCAGGACUUUUACUGUGAAAAAAUUAGAGUGUUCAAAGCAGGCAAUCGCUUGGGUACAUUAGCAUGGAAUAAUGGAAUAGGACAAUGGUUCUAUUUGUUGGUUUCUAGGACCGUUGUAAUGAUUAAUAGGGAUAGUUGGGGGCAUUAGUAUUCAAUUGUCAGAGGUGAAAUUCUUGGAUUUAUUGAAGACUAACUACUGCGAAAGCAUUUGCCAAGGAUGUUUUCAUUAAUCAAGAACGAAAGUUAGGGGAUCGAAGACGAUCAGAUACCGUCGUAGUCUUAACCAUAAACUAUGCCGACUAGGAAUCGGGCGAUGUUGAAAAAAUGACGC
rnacentral:rRNA from 1 species